rnacentral:rRNA from 1 species
AGAGUUUGAUCCUGGCUCAGGAUGAACGCUAGCUACAGGCUUAACACAUGCAAGUCGAGGGGAAACGAUAUUGGAAGCUUGCUUCCGAUAGGCGUCGACCGGCGCACGGGUGAGUAACGCGUAUCCAACCUGCCCACCACUUGGGGAUAACCUUGCGAAAGUAAGACUAAUACCCAAUGAUAUCUCUAGAAGACAUCUGAAAGAGAUUAAAGAUUUAUCGGUGAUGGAUGGGGAUGCGUCUGAUUAGCUUGUUGGCGGGGUAACGGCCCACCAAGGCAACGAUCAGUAGGGGUUCUGAGAGGAAGGUCCCCCACAUUGGAACUGAGACACGGUCCAAACUCCUACGGGAGGCAGCAGUGAGGAAUAUUGGUCAAUGGACGAGAGUCUGAACCAGCCAAGUAGCGUGCAGGAAGACGGCCCUAUGGGUUGUAAACUGCUUUUAUAAGGGAAUAAAGUGAGAGUCGUGACUCUUUUUGCAUGUACCUUAUGAAUAAGGACCGGCUAAUUCCGUGCCAGCAGCCGCGGUAAUACGGAAGGUCCGGGCGUUAUCCGGAUUUAUUGGGUUUAAAGGGAGCGUAGGCCGGAGAUUAAGCGUGUUGUGAAAUGUAGACGCUCAACGUCUGCACUGCAGCGCGAACUGGUUUCCUUGAGUACGCACAAAGUGGGCGGAAUUCGUGGUGUAGCGGUGAAAUGCUUAGAUAUCACGAAGAACUCCGAUUGCGAAGGCAGCUCACUGGAGCGCAACUGACGCUGAAGCUCGAAAGUGCGGGUAUCGAACAGGAUUAGAUACCCUGGUAGUCCGCACGGUAAACGAUGGAUGCCCGCUGUUGGUCUGAAUAGGUCAGCGGCCAAGCGAAAGCAUUAAGCAUCCCACCUGGGGAGUACGCCGGCAACGGUGAAACUCAAAGGAAUUGACGGGGGCCCGCACAAGCGGAGGAACAUGUGGUUUAAUUCGAUGAUACGCGAGGAACCUUACCCGGGCUUGAAUUGCAGAGGAAGGAUUUGGAGACAAUGACGCCCUUCGGGGCCUCUGUGAAGGUGCUGCAUGGUUGUCGUCAGCUCGUGCCGUGAGGUGUCGGCUUAAGUGCCAUAACGAGCGCAACCCCUCUCCUUAGUUGCCAUCAGGUUAAGCUGGGCACCCUGGGGACACUGCCACCGUAAGGUGUGAGGAAGGUGGGGAUGACGUCAAAUCAGCACGGCCCUUACGUCCGGGGCUACACACGUGUUACAAUGGCAGGUACAGAGAGACGG